rnacentral:lncRNA from 1 species
CUCUGGCUGCAGCAUCACCUGACACGGGGUUCCUGUCUGAUACUGUAUCUAACUCAGCAAUCACUGCACAACUUACCGUCUUGCUACAUACAUUUUGGUGGCGGAUCGUGGUCCGCGCCCGGGCUGAGUUCUGUGUCAGCCGGCUGAGAGGUUGUCAGGAUCCUGGGUCAAGAGUGGUCCAGCAGGGACAGGUCCAUGGUGAGACUGGCUGUACUGCAUCUGGAGCAUCCUUCUGGUGGCAUCAAGGGAGACGCUCGUCCCAGGUGAGUGGGGACAAAGCAGGUUUUAAAAAUAUUUUCCUUCUUUUCCCCCCAUAUUUUCUUUUCACUGACUUUUUUCCACUGAUUUUCAUUAGUCUUCCAGAAUUUGGGUAUUUUAUUUUAUUUUUUAUUUUUUUGGCCACACCUGUAGCAUAUGGAGGUUCCCUGGCUAGGGGUUGAAUUGGAGCUGCAGCUGCCAGCCUACACCACAGGCACAGCAACACCAGCUGCCUCUGUGACCUACACCACAGCUCAAGGCAAUGCCGGAUCCUCAACCCACUGAGCGAGGCCAGGGAUCGAACCUGCAUCCUCAUGGAUACUAGUCAUGUUCUUAACCCGCUGAGCCACAACAGGAGCUCCUAGAAUUUGGGUAAAUAAGCUGCAUGGAGAAAUCUGCUUCGUGGGAGGUUUUGCCUUUUUCUUUCCAUAAAUUUAAUACUUAAGUUUUCACUGCUUUGUGGCCAAGAGGGAGGGUAACCACUCCUGGGGUUCUGAGAGCUCUCUCUCGCUCUCUCUCUUUUUUUUUUAACAGUUUCUCCAAGAAUUUGUCCUUCUGUCCUUCCUCUAUUGCCUCACUUUUCGCAAGGCAGAACAUGUACUGAGAGUGGGUAUAUUUUUUUCGUGAUUGGUUAAGAGGAACUGCUGGUAUUUGAAAUACUCUUUUGACCUUGAUGUGCUGGCUUGGCAGCAAAUUUUAUUGUGUAAGCCGAAGCAGAAACCAGUCCGUGUGAAAAGCUCCGUCCUCUGCCAUACCCAGCACACUGUGGUCUUUCUAAGUGAAAAGCCACUAAUGGCAGUGUAAACAAGAGAUGAGGUGGUUCUUGGGGCAGGGGAC